rnacentral:rRNA from 1 species
GACGAACGCUGGCGGCGUGCUUAACACAUGCAAGUCGAACGGAAAGGCCCUGCUUUUGUGGGGUGCUCGAGUGGCGAACGGGUGAGUAACACGUGAGUAACCUGCCCUUGACUUUGGGAUAGCUUCAGGAAACUGGGGCUAAUACCGGAUAGGAGCUCCUGCUGCAUGGUGGGGGUUGGAAAGUUUCGGCGGUUGGGGAUGGACUCGCGGCUUAUCAGCUUGUUGGUGGGGUAGUGGCUUACCAAGGCUUUGACGGGUAGCCGGCCUGAGAGGGUGACCGGCCACAUUGGGACUGAGAUACGGCCCAGACUCCUACGGGAGGCAACAGUGGGGAAUAUUGCACAAUGGGCGGAAGCCUGAUGCAGCAACGCCGCGUGCGGGAUGACGGCCUUCGGGUUGUAAACCGCUUUCGCCUGUGACGAAGCGUGAGUGACGGUAAUGGGUAAAGAAGCACCGGCUAACUACGUG